GAUGAACGCUGGCGGCGUGCCUAAUACAUGCAAGUCGAGCGAACGGACGAGAAGCUUGCUUCUCUGAUGUUAGCGGCGGACGGGUGAGUAACACGUGGAUAACCUACCUAUAAGACUGGGAUAACUUCGGGAAACCGUAGCUAAUACCGGAUAAUAUUUUGAACCGCAUGGUUCAAAAGUGAAAGACGGUCCUGCUGUCACUUAUAGAUGGAUCCGCGCUGCAUUAGCUAGUUGGUAAGGUAACGGCUUGCCAAGGCAACGAUGCAUAGCCGACCUGAGAGGGUGAUCGGCCACACUGGAACUGAGACACGGUCCAGACUCCUACGGGAGGCAGCAGUAGGGAAUCUUCCGCAAUGGGCGAAAGCCUGACGGAGCAACGCCGCGUGAGUGAUGAAGGUCUUCGGAUCGUAAAACUCUGUUAUUAGGGAAGAACAUAUGUGUAAGUAACUGUGCACAUCUUGACGGUACCUAAUCAGAAAGCCACGGCUAACUACGUG
rnacentral:rRNA from 1 species